ACAGCCUGNAACCCGGCUGUAUGAAGCUGGAAUCGCUAGUAAUCGCAGAUCAGAAUGCUGCGGUGAAUACGUUCCCGGGUCUUGUACACACCGCCCGUCACACCAUGGGAGCCAGGAAUGCCCGAAGCCAGUGGCCUAACCGCAAGGGAGGAGCUGUCGAAGGCAGGCCCGGUAACUGGGGUGAAGUCGUAACAAGGUACC
rnacentral:rRNA from 1 species